CAGGAAUGGUCAUUUUUCCUCUCCAAAGCAAGGUUUCCUCCACGCUGGUUUAGCUGUACCUGGUUCAUUCUACCUGUGGAACUGAACCCCUGAGAAAUGUAUUUUAGACCAGUAUGAAGAAUUUCCUACACGUUCAUAUGAGUACAGAGACCUUGAGAGCAGAGCAUGAGCUUCCCCACCAGGAGGGAACACAACCCCUUGGAUGGCUCAGCCUCACACACAGCCCUGGGGAAAUGUGAAGGGGAGGACUCAGCAAAAGCAAAGGGUUCACUAAUGUGAAAUCCCAGCAAGAGGAAACACAUGCCCUUGAAAAAGAGGUGGAGGAGGUGCUGCAGUGGUAACUGGUGCAGAGAAACAACAGGAUCCACUCUGAUUUCACACUGGGAAAG